AACGAACGCUGGCGGCAUGCCUAACACAUGCAAGUCGAACGAGACCUUCGGGUCUAGUGGCGCACGUGUGCGUAACGCGUGGGAACCUGCCCUUAGGUUCGGAAUAACUCCCCGAAAGGGGUGCUAAUACCGGUUAAUGUCUUCGGACCAAAGAUUUAUCGCCUUUGGAUGGGCCCGCGUUGGAUUAGCUAGUUGGUAGUGUAAAAGCCUACCAAGGCGACGAUCCAUAGCUGGUCUGAGAGGAUGAUCAGCCACACUGGGACUGAGACCCGGCCCAGACUCCUACGGGAGGGAGCAGUGGGGAGUAUUGUGCAAUGGGCGAAAGCCUGAUCCAGCAAUGCCGCGUGAGUGAUGAAGGCCUUAGGGUUGUAAAGCUCUUUGACCCGGGAUGAUAAUGACAGUACCGGGAGAAUAAGCUCCGGCUAACUCCGUG
rnacentral:rRNA from 1 species